GAAUGAUAUGGAGAUGGCUAAACUAACUUGCUGUAUUCUUGCACUGCUUAUGGUCUAGCAGGGAGAAGAAGUGAUAAGAUGAUAAAAUGAGUACGUGACGACAUUAAGUGUGGUGAAGGACCUGCGCAUUGUGACAUGGCUAUCGGCUACUGCUGAUCUUCUGAGGAUAAGUCAGGAGGAGGAUCACAUGCCUCCCAACUGCACUAAAACCACCAAAAGAGAAAUUGUGGAUGGGGGGACUACUGUACAUUGCUGCUGCAGCACAGAAUCUGCUCAUAUCAUAAUUUUGUGAUAAGAUGAUAAAAUGCGUACGUGACGACAUUAAGUGUGGUGAAGGACAUAAACAUGUGACAUGGUGAUCGGCUACUACUGAUCUUCUGAGGGAUAAGUCAGAAGAAGGAGCACCUGCUUCCCAACUGCACUAAAACCACCGAAAGAGAAACCGCAGAUAGGAGGGACUACUAUACAUUGCUGUUGCAGCCUGGAAGCUGCCAUAGACCACACGCAAAUAAAUGAGUAUGGCUGUGUUCCAAUA